rnacentral:rRNA from 1 species
UUCCGUAGGGGUGACCUGCGGAGGGAUCAUUGCUGGAACGCGCCCCAGGCGCACCCAGAAACCCUUUGUGAACUUAUACCUUACUGUUGCCUCGGCGUACGCUGGCCCCCAGGGGUCCCUCUGUCUACGGAGGAGCAGGCGCGCCGGCGGCCGAGUUAACUCUUGUUUUUACACUGAAACUCUGAGAAGAAAAAAAAAAUGAAUCAAAACUUUCAACAACGGAUCUCUUGGUUCUGGCAUCGAUGAARAACGCAGCGAAAUGCGAUAAGUAAUGUGAAUUGCARAAUUCAGUGAAUCAUCGAAUCUUUGAACGCACAUUGCGCCCUCCGGUAUUCCGGAGGGCAUGCCUGUUCRAGCGUCAUUUCAACCCUCAAGCCUGGCUUGGUGUUGGGGCACUGCCUGUGAAAGGGCAGGCCCUCAAAUCUAGUGGCGAGCUCGCCAGGACCCCGAGCGCAGUAGUUAAACCCUCGCUCUGGAAGGCCCUGGCGGUGCCCUGCCGUUAAACCCCCAACUCUUGAAAAUUUGACCUCGGAUCAGGUAGGAAUACCCGCUGAACUUAAGCAUAUCAAUAAGCGGA